GAAGAAUUCGGCUGUGACCAGUCACCGUCUUGGUAGCAGAGAGUGGAGAGACCUGUGGGGACCAGGAAGGCUCCUGCAGGAUCCUGGACUGGAACCCAGUGUAGUGGGUGAGCCUGGGUUCCCCUACCACCCUGCAGGAAGGUGCUGCAAAGCCCCCUGACAUGAGGGAGCAAGGACAAUUUAAAGCCCUGAGAGAAGAGUGUGAAGACCACGGGACCAAGAGGUGGAGCGGACUAGGUGUAAAGACACUGGAUUUCCUGUUGGACUUUCUUUUACCUGUCCAGUGGGUCAAGUCGCGGGAAAAGAGACCUGCACAGGAAGAGAGCGAUUGCCUGCAGCAGGUGCUAAAGAGGACAGAGCAGCUACUCCAUGCCCAGCAAUGAGUUCAGUCUCCUGCACCUUCAUAUGAAUUAAAACACGUAAUGUGCAAACACACUGACAAGAGCGGGUGACAGUUACCGAGUGGCUACUUCUCCCCCUGUGAAAGUGCCCAUUGGCAGGUCAGCAACACCUAAUGGCUAACAGUAACAAAGUCUGCUGAAUGCUAAUAAAAUCCAUAUGUCCUUUUGCCAACAGGACGGCACUGACUGAGGAUUCAAGCCUCUGUACCAACCGUGAGUCAUCUUGUUUGGCACCAGAGCAGAAUGUGUUUAUUAUGACCUAAAAUGUUAAUGCAAAAAUAUGGGUGUGGAGUAUGUGUUGCUUUAUGUUGGCAGAGGAUUUGCCUUGGAGGCCAGACUGCCUUACUCUACCAGAUGCUCUGCUAAUUUGAGAGUCUGAGGCAGCUGAAUGCACCUGACAAAGGAGAAAAUAGCUUCACUGAGACUUUCCCUUCUGUUGAUUUUGAUGUUUUCUUCUUGUCUUCCAAAAAUCACCCUCCCAUCUGAUCCUGAGAUCACUGUUACUGGUGUCAAUCAGGAGUAACUCUACUGGCAUCCAUGGAGUUACCCUGGUGUAUGUCAGAGGAGAAUCCAGCCCAGUGUUGGAUGUGGUUUAAAUGAAGUUAUAAACACGUAAGAAAGAACGUGGCAUUGCCCUCACAUUGUUCAAGCUUGAAGGACAAUUCAAGUACAACGUGAACUGCUAAGAAGCUGAAGAAGGCACACAAAGCAUAUGCCAUGCAGUGUGGUCCCUGUACCCUCUAUUAGGGAUCAUAUGUUAGUGGUGUAAGAUAAAGCUUCCCUCAGUUUGCUCUAACCAGGGGAGAACGAAGUCUCCUGACUCAAUGGGUGCACUGUACUAAACUCUAGUGUAAUUGCAGUAAAUCAGAUAAUAGCUUCUUGGACAUAAUUUUGAGUUGUAAUGAAGGAGGGCACUGACCACCCCCAGCAGCACCCACUUUCCAGGCACUGCAAUCCUAAUCCUGGCCUGGUGAGGUGGAGGAAGGCCAUGGGGUGUGGUAGGGCAGGACAGUGAGCCCUCUCUGCACUCACCCAACAGUGGCACCUCCUGUCCCACAAGGCUGGGCCUGGCUCGCCACUUCAGGCAUUGCAACCUGGCACAUGGGGUUGCAGUGCCACUUAGAUUUGGCACCCUUGGUUGUGUGAUUUCUGUGGGUGCAAUUGAACCCACGGUAAAGCCACCCCGGCUCUAACUGAUGCUGGGGCCAAGCUGGUGCAGAAUCAGGGAGCUGUAACUGGCUGCCUUACAUUUCCCCCUCUUCCUGUGCAAAGUGGAGUUCAGACGCAGGGGAGGAUGGAGCGCUGCGUACUGGUUUAUCACAACCAUAGUUUCAGGCUGUUAGUAAAGUAACUGCAGCAAGAGGUGCUCAGCAGGCUUUCAGCUUGGAUCUCUGCAGGGGAGAAGGGGUAGAGUAUGUUAACUCUUUAUGCUAACACAUUUCCCUGGUGUAAUGUUUGCAAACUGUAUAACAUGUUGCCAGGUGAUAUUCUGCUUAAUCUAAAACCUGAGUAAAGAUAAAAGUUGAUGUAGGAAAGAGAGAGAGAGAAACACAAUGUUGACAUCAUGAACAAUAAUUGCAAAAAAUAUAUCUCUGUAUCAUAAAUAAAAUGUAGCAUUUACAUAGUGCUUUUCAGCAGACAGUAGCUAAGCCUUCUAAGCAGACAGCCUUCUAAGAUACAGGGCAGUAAAUAUUAUCCUCAUUAUUCCACAAAUGUGGACAAAUUCUUGCUUCCAGUAUGCAGGUGAACAAGGGCCCUUCACACCUGGAAUGGUAUAACAACACUA